AACUAACUGAUUUUAGAAUUAUGUACAUUGUACUUUUAAAUUGUUUUUAAUGUGAAAUGUCAGCAAUGAAAAUUUAUAGAGAAAUCACAGUUAAUUGUGAAAGAAAAAUUUAUGUAUAUAUAAAUGUACAUGUUGUGCUUUUUUUUUAGUUACAGUAUGAUAUGGUGAACAAAAAGCCCUCAAUGCAGCCAGUUCUGGAGCUUUGGUUAGACUAUGAACAGUAGACAUCAAAAGAUGAUCAUCUGAAGGGCCACAAUUGUUUAAAGCACUGGUCAACAAAAACUGAACUAUUUGAUGGAUCAUACAUGUGCAGAAUGUACUACCAUAUUUCCAGAAUCAGAGAAAUAGAAAUAUCAAGUAUUAGAGAGAAAGAAAUGUAUGCAUCAUGUAUGAAGAACUGCCUAAGAAUAAUUUGCAAAAUACAUUGAAAUCUAACAAUUGCUAAUUGCAUAAUGCAUAUGGAAGUUAAGAAAGGUGUACUCUUCUGGAAAAUAUGUGUCCAGUGCAACAUUUCUUUUUCAAUUUUUGUGAGCAUAAUUCUACAUAAAAAUUGUAACAUGGCUACAGGGAUAAUACAAAAGGUUUAAUCUUAUUUCCAAACACAUUGGGGGAAUCAGAGAAGAAAUAUCAAGAAUUAGGGAAAAAGAAAUAAUUGUCAUGAAUGAGAAACUUGCUUUUUAUUAAUUUACAAAAUACUUUUUAGCCUCACAACUGUUAAUAAUAUUAUGAAUAUGGAAGUUAAAAGUGUGGACUUUGAUUAAUCUUCAACUUCUCUGAGCAUAGUUCUACAUAAAAAUUGUAACUUUAUAAAAUAGUCUUGUAGAAAAAGUGUAAGACUUUCAUACUUGUUUUAUAGAAAAUGUUUCUGGAUGUUUCAAUGUAAGUUUGCUAGACCCAGACCACUAGCUCCUAAGUCAAGGUUACACUUAGAUGUCAAAGGUUAAAAGGGUCUGUUUCUGUCUGGUCAAUAACUGCCAUACAUAAAGGGAUUUUGGAAUUACUCGGCAUAAAUGUUCACCAUAAAGAGACAACGUGUUAUGCGCAAAACCCAAACCCUUGCUCCAAGGUCAAGGUCACACGUAGAGGUCAAAGGUUAAUAGAGUCUUUUUGGUGUCUGGUCAAUAACUCUGCGAUCCAUGAAGGGACUUUUAGAUAACUUGGCAUAAAUGUUCACCAUAAUGAAACAAGGUGUCAUGCCUAAGACCAAGACCCCUAGCUGGAAGGUCACACUUAGAGGCCAAAGGUCAGAUACAAAAAUGACGUUGUCCCGAGCAUUUCUUGUUCAUGCAUGGAGGAAUUUUGAUGUACAAUGGCAAAAAUGUUCAUCAUCAUGAGAUGGUGUGUCAUGAGUAAGAACCAGGCCCCUAAUCCUUUGCUGUUACUAUAAAUAGCUAUUACUGUAAAGUUCUAUUCUAUUAGCCCUUAUGCUGAACAUGAUUUAUUCUGUCUUUGCGACCAGUGUAGAUCACGAUCAGCCUGCACAUCCAUGCAGGCUGAUGAUGAUCAGCACUGUUCGCCAUUCAAUCAUUAUAUUUUUGGUAAGCAUCCCUUUUAACAGUUAAUGGUACUGUCCAAAUUGAAAAAUGGACAAGUUCAUUAUAGAAAUUCAGCAGGGUAAGGAUUAAUAUUAGCCCUAGGAGAAAAUUGGGACUACUUUUCUGUAGUACAACACGCAUGUUACAUCCAGUUUUUGAUGUAUUUUGACCUAAGGCUACCUGAUAAGUACUUUUGUGUGGACUUAGAUUUUUUUCAGAUUAACUUCUCUUUGUUGUCACUAUAACAAACGAUUAUUCUUGAAACUUUUUAUCCUGUUGUUAGAAUUGGAUAUGUCAUUGUUUUGGCUUUCUGUCUAUCAAACUUUUAGUUUUGCACAGAAAAUGUUUUAUUAUAUCAUCUACCUGACGAGCAUAUAUUUAACACCCUGGCACUCUUGUUUUAUUUUGUUCAUGCCAAGAUGCUGUAUUGGCAUACAGUAUGUAUGAUGAAAAUGUCCUUAGGCAGGGGACGUUGCUAACUCUGUUACAAAUUCUUGGUGUUGUUUUUUCUGGAGUUGUUGCCCUAUUUGAUCUUGAACUAAUUCAUCACACCGUGAACUCGUGAACUUAAGUCGAACAGAUCCAUCCAACUGAAUUGAAACUAGGUAUACAUCAGAAGCAUGAAAUGAAUAUGUACAUGUUGCCCUGACUUUUAUGAUCGAUUAUUUUGUCUGGAGUUGUGGCCCUUCUUUAACGACGAAUGACAACUACAUUGUAGUUUCCUUCUCUUCAUUUCAAAUAAAACUUGUUAAGCAUCAUAAAUAUUAUGUAGACAUGCGCAUUUGUUUCUUGUUCAGUUGUUUAACUUCUAUAUAUUUUUCCUUAAUAACAUUAUUGACCCGUCGUUAUUAUAAAUUAUUGAAUGAAACAUUUUUUACCUCCGUGAAGGAAUAUUGUCAAACUAUACCGAUAAGGGGAAGAGUUUGCUUCCUUUUGUAGCACAACUGUCUAUGCAUUAUUGUGUCUUGCUCAUAUAUAACACUUUUAUUUGUGUGAACAUGCAUGAAUUUGUUAUACUGCAAAUUAAAACAGUCAUCAUUGA